rnacentral:rRNA from 1 species
AUUGAACGCUGGCGGCAGGCUUAACACAUGCAAGUCGAGCGGAGAUGAGGUGCUUGCACCUUAUCUUAGCGGCGGACGGGUGAGUAAUGCUUAGGAAUCUGCCUAUUAGUGGGGGACAACAUUCCGAAAGGAAUGCUAAUACCGCAUACGUCCUACGGGAGAAAGCAGGGGAUCUUCGGACCUUGCGCUAAUAGAUGAGCCUAAGUCGGAUUAGCUAGUUGGUGGGGUAAAGGCCUACCAAGGCGACGAUCUGUAGCGGGUCUGAGAGGAUGAUCCGCCACAGUGGGACUGAGACACGGCCCAGACUCCUACGGGAGGCAGCAGUGGGGAAUAUUGGACAAUGGGGGGAACCCUGAUCCAGCCAUGCCGCGUGUGUGAAGAAGGCCUUAUGGUUGUAAAGCACUUUAAGCGAGGAGGAGGCUACUGAGACUAAUACUCUUGGAUAGUGGACGUUACUCGCAGAAUAAGCACCGGCUAACUCUUUGCCAGCAGCCGCGGUAACAC